GUGGAUUAGAUACCCUGGUAGUCCACGCCGUAAACGAUGGGCACUAGGUCCUUGGGGGAGCGACCCCGUGAGGGCCGGCGCUAACGCAUUAAGUGCCCCGCCUGGGGAGUACGGCCGCAAGGCUGAAACUCAAAGGAAUUGACGGGGGCCCGCACAAGCGGUGGAGCAUGUGGUUUAAUUCGACGCAACGCGAAGAACCUUACCUGGGCUUGACAUGCACGGGAACUCGUGGGGAAACCUGCGGGGCUCUUCGGAGCUCGUGCACAGGUGCUGCACGGCUGUCGCCAACU
rnacentral:rRNA from 1 species